ACCUGAUUGAUCUUGUCAGUCAUAUAUGCUUCUCUUAAAGAUUCAGCCAUGCAAGUGCCAGUAUAGGUGAAUAUAUAGCGAAACUGCGGAUAGCUCAUUAAAACAGUUUGAAAAGUAUCAAUGAAAUGGUCCUCACUCUUUUGUGGGGGAAGUGGAUAUUAAAUGUAAUUCUUUUGAUAAUACAUGUGACUUGGAAAUACAGUACUCAAUACUGUACGUAUUUAUUAGGAGAGACAAAGGGUAUCGACUAUAUUUAUAUAGUCUUUGUAGACAAAACUGAAAAUUAUAAAUUGACAAAUCUAUAUGUGUUUACUCGAAUAUUUAGAUAACAUGAACUUCAGACUGAUCCAUCAAAUCAUUCGUGGUAUCUUUGACUACGAAGUUUAUCACGGAUAACGAAAGAUCAGGGUUUGAUUUCGGAGAGAAAGCAUGAGAGUUUGCUUUCACUCCUAAGGGAGGCAGCAGGCCCGGAAAUUAUUCAAUAUCAAUUCGAUGAAAUAGUGACGAGAAUUAUUAGAAUAGGAGAUUUUAUCUGCUAUGUCUGGAAUGAGAACACGGUAAUUCCAGCUCCAAGAGCGUAUUUGAAAAUUGUUGCUGUUAAAACGCCCGUAGUUGAAAUCAGAUAGAAACUCUGAGCUAUUACUCACAAAAGUAAUAGAAUUUCAGAAUUAUAUAUCAAAAAACUAGACAGAUAAUAUUUGGAAGAUAAAGUCGAAAGGCUUGAAAAUAAAAAUAUUUGCAAUUAUAAAGUAACUAGAGAUUUGCAAUUAAAAUACAAUAUUUGUGGAAAACGAAAUUAAACUGAUAGUUGUCCUACUUCUACAGUAGGUCUGUGUAGGAAUGAUCGCUUUGAAUAAAUUAGAGUGCUUAGAACAAGCAAUUAUGCAUGAAUAUAUUAGCAUGGUACGACAAAAUACGAUAGAAUUAUUUUUAUGGUGCAACUUCAGUAACGAGCUGAAUACAUUAGAUGAAUUAUAUAGGAGGAAACCCAAUUAUAGAAUUCGCCCAAAAUCUUUGUAGUAGGAAACGAUUGAAGAAAAGAUAAAUUUAUAAUGAUUAACAGGGGCAAAUGGGGUAAUUCGUAUUGAAUGGGUAGAGGUGAAAUUCUAUGAUCCAUUCAAGACGCACUAAUGCGAAAGCUUUUUACCAAAAUGCUUUCAUUAAUCAAGGACGAAGGUUGUGGGCGCGAAGAUGAUUAGAUACCGUUGUAGUCACAACAGUAAACGAUGUUGA
rnacentral:rRNA from 1 species